AGCAAUUCCGUGCCGGUCCACGCCAGCUCAAGUGUUGCUGCAGCAUGCCGUCUACCUCGAGCACAAAUUAACAAGGAUUUGGAUGCAAGUUUUUCCACCCCAGUCAAGAUGUCCUCUGAAAGCAUUACAGACAUUACCAGGCGUGAUUCUAACCACUCCCGUGCCUGUCUACAGACUGCACCUGAACUUUCAAGACAACUGAGUUCUACAGAAUUACCCGAGUGGACCUGAAGAGGAUCUUCCUGUCAUCAUUGGAUGCACACUCACCGCAGCUUAUUAAGCUGUACAGAUCACGCCGCGGAACACUUGCAAAGGACAUGAGGAUCCUUCUAGACAACUUUGAUGAACAGAAAGUCUACAGCUCUAUGGGGUCUACCGUUCUUUGAUGGAGAAGCCGGACGGCUUUCUGAAGAAAUAUCUGACCCGGAGGAAUUUUGUGUCAAGGGAGUUGAACUUGCAAUACUCAGUUGUUGAAGAUGGCGUUGGGACGGUCCGCUCAAGUCGAACAACAAUAAGCAUCGCCCUGGUUAUUGAGGAACGGAUUGUCCUGGAGGAUGUAUGCGACUUCCCAACCGCAUUUGCCCCUUUGUUUGGGCUCAUCCAGGCUCUUAACCUGGACUAUCCGAAGGACUUACGGUACACAUUUUUGAAGUAAUUCAAAAGGUGUUCAUGAACCUUGGUACCCAGUGCUCUACCUGGGUUCAGGCCUUAAAGAACAGUUUGCUGAAGUAGCCUGCCAUAUCUAAACCACGCCUAUGGUCUUGGCUGGAUUUUCAUGAGGGACUGAAAUGUCACCAACUUGACCAAAUGCCGAUGGUAUGAGUUGACCAAAUUGGUCAACACCCUUAAGUAUUAGAUGUUUAACAAGUUUAUUAUUUGCCUUACUACUUUGUAUAUUACAGCUGAACUAUCCACUGCUGGUCCUGCACUUUAGGUGUAUUAUAAUUUAAUAUUAAUUUUAGUUUAUUGUUGUUACUGCCACAUAGCGCCAUGCAGACACAUAUUUGCAUUUAUUUUUGUUUUGACCGAGUAUUAGGAGGGAACUUUAGUCGGUGUCUUUGGGUUUAAAAUGGUGUGAAGUGGAGAUUUAAGGAUGUUGACCCCCUGCUGUCUACUAUUCAAGUGUUGAAAUUGAAAGACAAUAUUGUUUUACAAGCAAAUAACUUAUUGUUAUUAAACAUUUUGUGUUUUAAGAUGUUUUUCUUUUCUUUAACAGUGUACGUUUCUAAUUAAUUAAAAAUGAAGGCUGUAAAAAAAAAAGAAAAAAAGUUGAGUAUACUUAAAAAGGUUAAGCAACCAGCUGCACAGCUUUUUUGAGUAUACUCAACACAAAAUGGGCAGUGCAAGGACGCAGACACAAUGUACAAAAGCUCUCGCUUGCACCUGUAGCCUAUGCUGCACACUUAAUAGGAAGCAAUAGGAAGAAAAGGAAAACCUGUUACUCUGACUUUUGAGGAUUUGGGCAUUAUUCCAACAUGGUCCACUGCUGGCCUUAAUGUCUCACUGCUGGCCUUAUGUCUAGUCGCACUAGGGUCAAUAUUGUCAGCUAUUAUUUUUUUAUUUAGUCCUGUGUCAAAUGUCCUUGUUUUUAUCGUAUUUGGUCAACCUCAUCUUGUUUUUUCUGUCAAGCUUUACUUGACUUAUAGUCUGGGCAUUUAAGUCUUCUCUUCACAUCACAUUAUAUUUUAUAUUUCAGUCAAUUUUGUCUAGAUAAAAUGUCCCAUGGCUUCUUUAGGAGGAUGAAUUGGCAACAAUUGAAUAUACUAUUCAUAACUAUAUUUUAAUCAGUGUAUAAUCACCUAAAAACUAAGGAUCGUAGUGUUUUCGUUAGCUUAGAAAAAGCCAUUUAUAUCUACAUGGAGUUGGUCGACUUCCAUGGAAUCUGCUAUCGAGCACCGUCAUGUUUCUACAGCAGCCCAGAAUGGACACUGGCUUUGGCGAGAGCCAUUCAUGUUUAACGUCAUCUGAAGGUAGUGAUGCAUCCAAAACCCGGUAUUAAACAGGCCCCGUUGCUAAAUUAACGGAAUAUUAAUAAACCCCGACGUUACUGGAGUUUUCUUUUUACUUUUGAAUGUUUUGAUGUAAUUUAUUAUCACGCUGCAGUGCGCAUCUCAGCUCUCCUUGUCGGGCUGACCUCCAACUACACACACACAAAGCGCUGGUCGGAUGAAAUCUCUAUACAAGAACAGUCUAUUUACCAUUUACUAUUUACACAUAGACACAAACACACACACACAGACACAUUCACAUAUUCAAAGCGUGAGCAUUUAUGCCACUGUGGUG